rnacentral:rRNA from 1 species
GUCAGGUAGAGAAUACCAAGGCGCUUGAGAGAACUCGGGUGAAGGAACUAGGCAAAAUGGUGCCGUAACUUCGGGAGAAGGCACGCUGAUAUGUAGGUGAAGUCCCUCGCGGAUGGAGCUGAAAUCAGUCGAAGAUACCAGCUGGCUGCAACUGUUUAUUAAAAACACAGCACUGUGCAAACACGAAAGUGGACGUAUACGGUGUGACGCCUGCCCGGUGCCGGAAGGUUAAUUGAUGGGGUCAGCGCAAGCGAAGCUCUUGAUCGAAGCCCCGGUAAACGGCGGCCGUAACUAUAACGGUCCUAAGGUAGCGAAAUUCCUUGUCGGGUAAGUUCCGACCUGCACGAAUGGCGUAAUGAUGGCCAGGCUGUCUCCACCCGAGACUCAGUGAAAUUGAACUCGCUGUGAAGAUGCAGUGUACCCGCGGCAAGACGGAAAGACCCCGUGAACCUUUACUAUAGCUUGACACUGAACAUUGAGCCUUGAUGUGUAGGAUAGGUGGGAGGCUUUGAAGUGUGGACGCCAGUCUGCAUGGAGCCGACCUUGAAAUACCACCCUUUAAUGUUUGAUGUUCUAACGUGGACCCGUGAUCCGGGUUGCGGACAGUGUCUGGUGGGUAGUUUGACUGGGGCGGUCUCCUCCUAAAGAGUAACGGAGGAGCACGAAGGUUGGCUAAUCCUGGUCGGACAUCAGGAGGUUAGUGCAAUGGCAUAAGCCAGCUUGACUGCGAGCGUGACGGCGCGAGCAGGUGCGAAAGCAGGUCAUAGUGAUCCGGUGGUUCUGAAUGGAAGGGCCAUCGCUCAACGGAUAAAAGGUACUCCGGGGAUAACAGGCUGAUACCGCCCAAGAGUUCAUAUCGACGGCGGUGUUUGGCACCUCGAUGUCGGCUCAUCACAUCCUGGGGCUGAAGUAGGUCCCAAGGGUAUGGCUGUUCGCCAUUUAAAGUGGUACGCGAGCUGGGUUUAGAACGUCGUGAGACAGUUCGGUCCCUAUCUGCCGUGGGCGCUGGAGAACUGAGGGGGGCUGCUCCUAGUACGAGAGGACCGGAGUGGACGCAUCACUGGUGUUCGGGUUGUCAUGCCAAUGGCACUGCCCGGUAGCUAAAUGCGGAAGAGAUAAGUGCUGAAAGCAUCUAAGCACGAAACUUGCCCCGAGAUGAGUUCUCCCUGACCCUUUAAGGGUCCUGAAGGAACGUUGAAGACGACGACGUUGAUAGGCCGGGUGUGUAAGCGCAGCGAUGCGUUGAGCUAACCGGUACUAAUGAACCGUGAGGCUUAACCUU